rnacentral:rRNA from 1 species
AACGAACGCUGGCGGCAUGCCUAACACAUGCAAGUCGAACGAGACCUUCGGGUCUAGUGGCGCACGGGUGCGUAACGCGUGGGAACCUGCCCUUAGGUUCGGAAUAACUCCCCGAAGGGGGUGCUAAUACCGGAUAAUGUCUUCGGACCAAAGAUUUAUCGCCUUUGGGUGGGCCCGCGUUGGAUUAGCUAGUUGGUAGGGUAAAAGCCUACCAAGGCGACGAUCCAUAGCUGGUCUGAGAGGAUGAUCAGCCACACUGGGACUGAGACACGGCCCAGACUCCUACGGGAGGCAGCAGUGGGGAAUAUUGGACAAUGGGCGAAAGCCUGAUCCAGCAAUGCCGCGUGAGUGAUGAAGGCCUUAGGGUUGUAAAGCUCUUUUACCCGGGAUGAUAAUGACAGUACCGGGAGAAUAAGCUCCGGCUAACUCCGUG